ACCGAGACACCAAGAGUCACAGACACCGGGACACCGAGAGUCACAGACACCGGGACACCGAGACACCGAGAGUCACAGACACCGGGACACCGAGACACCGAGAGUCACAGACACCGGGACACCGAGACACCGAGAGUCACAGACACCGGGACACCGAGACACCGGGAGUCACAGAUCCCGGGACACCGAGGCUCACAGUGAGCGGGGGCAGGCGUUCCCCCUGCACUGCCGAGGCCACAGUAACCCGUGUCCCCGGUAGCUGCCCAGGGCUCCUGAGCUCCCCAGCGGUGACUGCAGCGCUGCCCCGGCUGGCCCGUGCCGCGGCCGGACAGCUCUUUGGGUGAAGAAGUUUUUCCUAAAGCCCAAUCCAGCAUUCCCUGGCACAGCUCGAGGCCGUUUCCUUUCGUGCUGGCCCUUGGCGGCCGCGGGAGCAGAGCGGUCCCGCUGUGGAGCGCAGGGCACGGCGGCUCCGGGGACAGAGCGGCUGAGGGGGCCGAGCUGGGAAGGGCCGGCUGUGGGACAGGCCCGGAGAGCGGGAAGGGACCGCGGCCUCUAUGGCAUGGCAGGCGGGGGGAGGAGAGAGAGGUGGAUAAUGAGGGGCUGGCAGAGGGAACAGGAGCACUCCGCAGCUGGGGCAGGGAGACGAGGCUGCCAGGGAGGAGGGAGCAGAGGAAUGAUGUGGUCUAAGCCAUUGACCAGCACAACAAUUUUUGCAGCAGCCCUCUGGAUACAAACCAGGAGAUCAAGGAACGCUCUGGAAGGUGUGGACGUUGUUGGGCAGUAGGAAUCCAUGAAAAGAUGAUGAUGAACCCUCAAAUCAUGAAGAGACAGGCUGGACGACGCCAGUUUUACCUCCAAACCAAUUUCCUGACAAUCAUCUCUUCCCUGGCAGCCCUGCUCGUCUCCAGGGCUUCUGUGGGUCCAUGUCUCCUCAGCGUCUCCCUGGAAUUGGCUUUGUUGCCACCUCCAUCUGGACGUUCCUUAUGCCCAAUGAAGAGGAAUUUCCAAAACUGAGAAGGGUCCUGAAGAUGUCCAGGAAAAAAAAAAAAAUAAAAAUCCCAGCUAUGUGAUGUCUCUAGGGCUGCGUUUGUACAUUCAGCACGUUAUGAAAAGCAGCUCUUUGGGCUGGUUCAUUGACUGGCAGGAAUUAGAGAGCUAAGUCACUGCAGGGCUGGCAAUUAGCUGCUGCACGAGUGUUUUUGUAGAGUCAAAUUUCCAGCGAGGGGAAGAGAAAAGCGUUUGUAAAGCAAGCCACCCCUCGGUGCAGGAGCCGGGCAGGGGGAGCUGCAGCUCCUGCACUCCUGAGCAAAGAGAAGAAUUGUUCCUCAAACAAACACCGGUGAGGGGCAACACUCCCAAAUCCUUCCUCCCGCAGUGCUGGGGAGUUCUCUUGCCCCGGGAGCUGUGCAGUGCUGCUUUCAGCUGGAGCAGCAGCAUUUUCCAUCCAGCCUUUCCCUGCCUGUCUUUUCCCACUGACUGGUGGAGCAGCUGGAAGAGCAGAGGAAUGUCACUGGAAAGCCCCUGCCCCAGCAGCACCUGCACUUCUUCCUUUCCCAGGUCUCUCCUUACACAGUUCAAGUGUUGGGGCUUGCCUACACUUGAAGGUUGACUCUGGCUUUAGGGACAAAUAAAUCUGAAAGACAAGAACGAAUUCUUGAAUAUCUCUGGGAGGAUUUACUCAAAAUCAGUAAUUUCUGAAUAACUUGGUGCCCUGGCUGGCCAGUUCAUCCUCCAGGAACUUACAACCUCCCCCUCCAGAGUCUGCCUCGCUGAAAUCCUCACGUUGUCACAGCUGAAAUGUGGCUACAAAGAGCUGCAGGAAUUCCCCAAGGUUGUUUCACAGCCAAAAUACAGUGCCUGGAACAAAAGGAGUGUGCUGCAGGAGUCGGAGAGGAGCAAUGGGAGGAAGAGAAGCCCCCAGUGUGUGACUGGAGGAGCUGCAGAUGGCCAGACGUGACUGCGAGGGAAGGGAGGCAGCGCUCAGAGCAACGUUUCAGCUUUCAAGUCCCGUGCUCCAGGAUCUACAUGCCAUUUCUUGGAUGUGGUUUGCCCCGAGGGCAAUCUCAACAGCUGUGAAGUUUCAACAGAUGAACAAUGUAGUUUUCAAUAAAUUUCACCAAGCAAAGGAAAGGAUUUUAACUCGUUCAUGCUAACCCACUUUUGGUCUGAAGGCUCUCCUGGACCCCAAUCCAUGCAAGCCAUGAGUGUUUCCUGUUUGAGCCCCAGGCACACCUGAGCUACACUCAGAGGUUUUUCCCCCUCAGAAGAGGCUUCUCUCAGCCAUGCCCGUGGGUUCUGGGAGGUGCAGGAACACCCCUGCCUUUACCUGUGCCACUUGAACCCGCUCUGGUGGAGGAAGGUGCCAAAUGUGGAUGCCCUCAGCUCCUGGUGGGGAAAAGAGAGGAGGUAGAAAGACAAUCUUUCAAAUCUCCUUGUGGCUACUGCAUCUUGGAAGUUCCAUUUCCUUUGUAGUCACACAUCCAGAAGUGGGGCUUUGCUCUUGGAGUCAUGUUCUCAUCCCAGCUGAAGGCUGAUGCCAUUAAUUGGAACUGAAAGAGGGGCUUUUGUGUCCCUGAAUUCUGCAGUCAGAGAAGUCAAGAAAUUCCCUCUUCCAAAACUCAUCUGGUGUAUCCUCAGAUCCUGAGGACAAUUACUGUGAAUUGUACACAGGACAGGACAGCAAACCUGAGUCCAGAGGUAAAAGGCCAGCUACAAAGCCAGCACUGGGGUUUUUGGUUCAUGUCUGGGGGUUCUGGGCAAUGAGGCUGUGACCUUUGCUGCCUCCCCUGUGGCUGGGAUCUGUCAGGUGGUUUCAGGAGUCCGAAGCAGCGAGCUCACACCUCUUGCAGGAGAUAACAGUGCUGAGUGAGCCCUGGAGGGAUCUCACACCUGUACAGGCUCCCUGCUUCACCUGUCCGUGUUUUACCUUUGCUGUCCAGGCCGAUGGGCUCAGGACUGAGCAUUUCCUCCUCACCCAAACAUCUGCCCAGAGGCCAUUCCCUCCUGCUCCCACACAGCCGCUCCCUGGCCAGUCUGCUUCCCCUUCCCUCUGCAGACAGACAGACAGACAGACAGACAGACAGCAAACACCCCCAGGAGCUGCCCCGGUGGUUCCCCACACAGCUCUGGGGGGCACUGAUGGAGUUUCACUGUAAGGAAACAACCCAAGCCCAGCUACAGACUCGAGGGUGGGUCUGUGUGUGAGGCAGAGAUGCCCUUGACCUUUAGGAGGCUCUUAGCACCAAGCCAUGAACAGCGACUGCUUUCAACCAGAGCUUUACAGUGACUGCCUCCCCACCUCUGCCCCUUCCCGAGCCAGGACACAGCUCAUAAAGCACCCAGAGACAUCUUGUGAGAUGCUGCAGCCUCCACACAACAGUGCACAGACACAUUUGGGGUCUUUUGUCCCGGCUCUUCAAAAUGUUUCAUGAGUUUUAGUCAUCACGUUGCUCUUCCUGUCCUACUGAGGCUCCCCAACCAUCAGCUUCCAACAGAAGUUUUUCAGACAGAAACUAAAUAUCUUUUCCUUCCUGUAAAAGAAGCCAGCAGUAUCUCCUUUUCACGUGGAAAGUCAAUAACCCUUGCAAAUGCACAGGGCAGCCUGGUGGUGCACUCUGAUUUCUCAUGAUUUCUGCUGAAAUGCUUUCAGUUGGCAUCUCCACCAGAGUGCUGAGCUCUCCAUCCAUGGGCUCCUCCUUGGGAAGAUUGCAAAGAUCCUCCUGUGCAGGAGCAGAAAAAUCAGUGGUCUGAGCAAACCCCUCGGCUCUCUGGAGAGGCUGGACACUGUGGAUGCUGUGCUGGAUUCAUUCCCAGCCUUGUGCAAGCUCUCAUGGUGUCUUUUAGAUGGUUCCUCAGAGUCUGCUGUGUGGUCUCUGGGUGCUCCCCUGGAUCUGAGGAUUCCACAGGGAGUUUGGGACAAUUCAGAGUUCAGCAACUGCAGCCUGAAAGUGUAAAAACACUUUGGGAACUGAUCUCUGACAUUGUCCAACCAAUUUAUCCCAGUGACAUUUGCUAGUGGCAAUGCAGUGCGUGUCACAGAGCAUCCAGGAGUUUGGAAUGGCAGGACUUGGCAUCACUGCUGUGCAAAGUUACUGCUGGGAGAGGCACUUUGCAUCCCAGAGGGAGCCAGGAGUGUGCUCACACCAAUAAAAUCCAC